GCCGACGUAGCUCAGUUGGUAGAGCAGCUGAUUCGUAAUCAGCAGGUCGUCAGUUCGACUCUGACCGUCGGCUCCA
rnacentral:tRNA from 1 species